rnacentral:rRNA from 1 species
UAGGGAAUCUUCCACAAUGGACGAAAGUCUGAUAGAGCAACGCCGCGUGAGUGAAGAAGGUUUUCGGAUCGUAAAGCUCUGUUGUUGGUGAAGAAGGAUAGAGGCAGUAACUGGUCUUUAUUUGACGGUAAUCAACCAGAAGUCACGGCUAACUACGUGCCAG